AUUAUAAGUUCCAGAAAAAUCCCUGGUAAAAAGACCAACAAUAUUACUUGUAUCAAGAUGAAGGUACCCAGCUUGUUAAUGACCUUGGGUCUCGUGACUGUCCUGUUUUGCGGCUGUGUAGUGGUGCAAGCAUCUUCUCAGUGUCUGUCAGUCUGUGUAAACAGUUCCUGUCGCCAGGAAUGUCUAACAAGUGGUCAUGCCUACGGAACGUGUCGUAGAAAGUACAAUUGUCCAAGCACUAAACCAAAAGUAUGCCAGUGUGUCUUGUAGUCGAUCAAAAUAUCGACCAAAAGAAAAUAAAUAAAAUGUUCAUUGAAAUAUAA